UGGGCCUAAAGCGUUCGUAGCCGGUUUGAUAAGUCUCUGGUGAAAUCCCGCAGCUUAACUGUGGGACUUGCUGGAGAUACUAUCAGACUUGAGGUCGGGAGAGGUUAGGGGUACUCCCAGGGUAGGGGUGAAAUCCUAUAAUCCUGGGAGGACCACCUGUGGCGAAGGCGCCUAACUGGAACGAACCUGACGGUGAGUAACGAAAGCCAGGGGCGCGAACCGGAUUAGAUACCCGGGUAGUCCUGGCCGUAAACGAUGUGGACUUGGUGUUGGAAUGGCCUCGAGCUGCUCCAGUGCCGAAGGGAAGCUGUUAAGUCCACCGCCUGGGAAGUACG
rnacentral:rRNA from 1 species